AUUGAACGCUGGCGGCAUGCCUUACACAUGCAAGUCGAACGGUAACAGGUCUUCGGAUGCUGACGAGUGGCGAACGGGUGAGUAAUACAUCGGAACGUGCCUAGUAGUGGGGGAUAACUACUCGAAAGAGUGGCUAAUACCGCAUGAGAUCUACGGAUGAAAGCAGGGGAUCGCAAGACCUUGUGCUACUAGAGCGGCCGAUGGCAGAUUAGGUAGUUGGUGGGAUAAAAGCUUACCAAGCCGACGAUCUGUAGCUGGUCUGAGAGGACGAUCAGCCACACUGGGACUGAGACACGGGCCAGACUCCUACGGGAGGGAGCAGUGGGGAAUUUUGGACAAUGGGCGCAAGCCUUAUCCAGCAAUGCCGCGUGCAGGAUGAAGGCCUUCGGGUUGUAAACUGCUUUUGUACGGAACGAAAAGCCCUGGGUUAAUACCCCGGGGUCAUGACGGUACCGUAAGAAUAAGCACCGGCUAACUACGUGCCAGCAGCCGCGGUAA
rnacentral:rRNA from 1 species